UAAGAUCGCAUAUUUGAUUGGCCAUUUAGGGCGGCCGUAGUAUCAGAUUUGCUUCGUUCCAAGAUAGAAGAUGAAACGAUCUGUCAUUCAGGCGCCAAUCUCAGUUCUGAAAAUCGUCUAAACCCUUCACCAAAAGUCCAAUAUAUUAUAUAUAUUGUUUCUGUGAUUCUGUCUUGGCAGCACUUUGCGAAUACAGAGUAAUAAUCGUUGAGGAUUUGCUUCUCAGUACAAGUAAUAAUCUUCUAAACCCUAUAUAUUCCAAUCAAUCGCAGUUCUAAACUUUAUCUAUUCCAAUCGAUCAGAGUUCUAAACCCUAUCUAUCCCAAUCGAAUUCUCUCAGUGAUGAUGUUGAUGAUGAAGAUAUUGAAUCUUUGAAUUCGAAUGUUGCAUCCAAAGUUAGGGGGAAAAGAGAAAGUUGAUUUCAAAGGUAUGGAACUAUUUUGAAAUCUUAGAUACAAAACCGGGAGUGGAGUUAAUGUGUAAAUGCAAAAAGUGUGGAAACAAGUAUAGGGCUGAUAGCAAGAAUGGCACGGGUAAUCUAAAUCGACACAUACAAAGCUGUGUGAAAACGACAACUAAAGACAUUGGCCAGUUUCUUCUAUCCUCUAAUCAAGGUUCGCUUCUUUCUAGAAAUCCUCAAUUUAGUCAAGAAAAGUUUAGAGAGUUGCUAGUUCAAGCUCUUAUUAGACAUGAUUUACCAUUUAGUUUUGUGGAAUACGAAGGAAUUAGAGAUUUGCUAAAGUAUUUGGAACCGAAGGUUAGUUUUUUUUAGUAGGCACACUGCUAGAACAGAUAUAAAGAAAAUGCAUGCUUCAUUAGUUGAUAAGGUUCGAAACGAAUUAAGUUUAUGUCCUGGUCGAAUUUGUUUGACGUCUGAUUGUUGGAGUUCUAUAGUUAUUGAUGGUUAUAUAAGUUUGACAGCACAUUUCAUUGAUAGUGAGUGGGUUUUGCAUAAGAAAAUUCUUAACUUUUCAUAUAUGCCUCCACCUCACAAUGGAGUCUCUUUAUUUGAAAAAAAAUCCAUACUUUGGUUGCUUGUUGGGAUAUCGAUAAGAAAUUGUUAUCUCUUACACUAGACAAUGCAUCUGCGAAUGGUAGUUGUGUUAAUAUUCUUCGCUCUCAGUUAAAGUUAAAAGAUGCGUUAGUGUAUGAUGGUGCUUUGUUUCACAUAAGGUGUUGCGCACAUAUAUUGAAUUUAAUUGUGCAAGAGGGUUUAAAAAAGAUUGAUGUAUCAGUGGACAAAGUAAGAGAGUGUGUCAAAUAUAUAAAGGGUUCACAAAUAAGAAAAGAUAGUUUUAGAAAAUGUAUUGGGCAGAUUUCUCUUGAUGAUAAAAAAGGUUUACUUCAAGAUGGAAUUCAACGUAUAAAAUGCUUUCAAGUGCUUUGUACUAUCAACUUGCUUUCUAUCAACUGGAACUAAGUGAUUCAAACUUCAAAUGUUGUCCAUCUUUAGAGGAGUGGAAGAGAAUCGAAACUAUAUGUUGCUUUCUUGAAAUCUUUGACAAUGCAACUAAAGCCUUCUUAGGAUCAUAUUAUACUACAUCCAAUUUGUAUUUUCCUCAUGUGUUUCGCAUUCAGCUAAAGUUGGUUGAAGCCUGUCAAAGUUCGGAUACUUUUAUGAAACAGAUAGCUGGACAAAUGUUUGUUAAGUUUAACAAAUAUUGGGUUGAAUUUAAUCUUGUAUUAGCUAUGGCUGUGAUAUUUGAUCCUCGAUAUAAAUUGCGCAUGUUAGAGUUAGCAUAUAAUAAACUGUAUGGUGAAGAAUCAACUGAGUUUAAAAAGGUAAAAAACACACUUUUUGGCAUUUAUGAUGGGUAUUUAGAAAAAAAAACAUGGGUCAGCAGCUACUAUUGCUUGUGAUGUGGAUAAGUCUAAGAAUGCAACAAGAGUCAACCAACAAUCAAUGGAUGUUUGGAAGAGACACACCAUUUCUUUGUUUUGCUUAUGUCUAACUUUCCCUGCAUAGUGUCUGAUUGUUAUUUAUAAUUUUGUAGAAGUUUGAAACAUUUGAUAUUAUUAAUACAACUUUGAAAAAGAGUGAACUUGAGAUGUAUUUAGAUGAACAAAGAAUUGAUUUAUCUCAAAAUGUCCAAGUUCUUGAUUUUUGGAAAGCACAUGCAUAUCGUUAUCCAAAUUUGUGUAGAAUGGCAAAAGAUGUUUUAUCUAAUCCAGUAUCAACUAUUGCUUCUUCUGAAGCUUCUUUUAGUAUUGGUGGAAGAAUUCUUGAUCAAUAUCGUAGCACAUUGACCCCACAAAUUGUUGAGUCAGUGAUAUGUAGUCGGGAUUGGCUUUUUGGAGAUUCAGGUUUGCAAACAAAAGAAAAGGAAGCAAUGGAUGCUAUUGUUGAAGAAGUUAUUUCUCUAACACAAUGGUGGCGAAGAGGCAAUGGAAAGUGAAGAUUGAAAACCAGCACAUGUUAUAUUUUGUUGAAGUAGCUUCAUUUGUUUUUUUUUUUAAGUUUUAUCAUCUUUUGGUACUUUUAGUAUUUUGGAGAAUGUAUUUUGUGGUAAUUUUUAACUUGAGAUCCUAUGAUUUGUUGGUUCAAAAGAACUUAUUGAAGGAUGUAUUUUGUGGUGUGUUUUAAUUAAGAUGUUGUAUUCUCUUUUAAGUAAGAUUUUCGAAUUUUAGAGCAAAAAAUUAAAUUUUCGGGUCAAGCGGGUCGUGUUCGGGUUAACCCGUGAAAAAUCAAGUCGUGUUCGGGUUGUAUGUCUAGCAGAUUUUCCGGGUUCGGGUCAUGUUCGGGUUCGUGUAUUUAUUCGGGUUUGUGUCGGGUUGAACCCACCAACCCACGAACCCGACCCGUUAAGCACCCCUACCCAUAGUGGGGUGGUGAAACUAUUGUAAUAAUUCAACCAGUUUCAUGUGCUCAAAAACCACCCUCCUUGAUUCCUUUUUAUAAAAAUUGGGAAAAGUCGAACAUGAACAAAAUGUAACAUAACCAAUAUGGAACAUGAUCAAAAUUGGCUGACCGAAAUCGAGCAUAGUGUUCUCCGACAUAACCCUAUAAAUAUGGAAUGUUUCGACCCCUAAGCUAUUUUUAGGCUUUUCUUUAUGAAAUCAUGAAGAGGAUCAUCGAGGGAGAGGGAAAUGGUGGUGGGUCGUCAACGGGGGUUUGCUAACGAAUUAGAUGAUCUGAGGGGUGGGAAGACUUAUCGGUGUUUAAAUUUAUUUAAGAGUAAAAUGUCAUUUUAGUCCCUGAGUUUUGGACCAUUUUGACACUUUAGUCCAAAGGUUUCAUUUAUCGCAUAUGGGUUUAAAAAGUAUUAACAUUGUCAUUUUAAUUCAACUAACUUAACCCAAUCUAUUGAACUCAAUUAACCAAAGACAAUUUUGUCAUUUUCCCUGUUAUUUUAAUUAAAGCUUCAACCCACUAGAUUCAUUUAACCAGCAAACACCAACCACCACCACCAAAACACCUGCACGAACACCCACCACCACACCGCGACCACCAAACACCCACCAACACCAUCUCACCUCCCACCAACGAACACUUACCACCACCUAAACUAAUGUUUUAAAAGCCGAUUUUUAAAUCCUACUGGGUUAGGUUCAGAAAUGGUUCAACCGGUUGAACCGCAUUGUACCAAGGGGUUCAACCGAGUAGACCUGUUAACCCUAUAAAUCUAUUAUAUACAACUUCAACUAAAAAAUAAUCAAAAACUAUAUCAUUCCAUAAUAAAAAAAUCCAAAAAUUAAUCCAUAAUAAAAAAAAUCCAAGAACUCACUAUUGGUACCUUUUUGGGCGCUAGGUUUUACUAACAAGGUAAAUCGUCACCUUUAUGGACGCAUAAAAGAUUAAAAGCCCAAAUUUUAACCUUUGGCCCGAUACUGGUAUAUCGGUUUGGUAUAGCCCAGUUUACUGGCGAUACAAUUUCUUUGUCGUUCUUACAUUUUACCGGUAUGAUUCGUGCCGGCGAAGCUUUCGGCAUCCAGUUUAACCGGUCGGUUUAAACUGGUUUUUAAAACAUUGACCGAAACACCCACCACCACAUCGCAGCCACCGAACACCCACACCAUCGCCUCACCUCCACCAUCGAAAAUCCACCACCACCAUCUCAGUUCUAAAGAGAGAAAUGAAGAGAUUCUUAGAGAGAGAGAGAGAGAGAGAUCUUACUUGGUUGAGAGAGAGAGAGAGAGAGAGAGAGAGAGAUCUUACUUGGACCACCAAACACCCACCACCAACCAACCAAACAUCUACACCACCUCCGUCGAAAAUCCACAACCACCGUCUAAGCUUUAGAGAGAGAGACGAAGAGAUUCGAAGAGAGAGAAAGUAUAAUGCAGAGAGUUUAGAGGGAUGAAAAGAUUUUUAGAGAUGGAGAGAGAGAGAGAGUAGAGGGAGGUGCAAACAAAGAGAUAGAUUGGUGAGAAUAGGGGGAAUUAAAAGGAUGGAUUUAGUAAAAAGGUUUAACUAAAAUAAUAGGGGAAAUAACAAAAUUACCCUUGACUAAAUAAGGUCAAUGGAUAGGGUUAAAUCAGUUGUACUAAAAUGGUAAUGUUAAAAACUGUUUGGACCCAUCAACGAUAAAUGAAUUGAACUAAAGUGUUCCCCAAACCUUAAGUAUUAAAAUGACAAUUUACUUUUUAUUUACUAAAAUAGGUAUAUAUGUCAUUUCAUAAAAAGUUAACGAAAGUUAGUGUCAGAGGAAAACUUGUUACAAAAUAAAAAAAAAUACAUAGCCUAAAUAUGCAACUUCAAACAUAGACCUUAAAUGUAUGACUUUUAGUAUUGCUAGUGAUAGUUAUGAAAAUAACACUGAAAAACAAAAAGAAGUGCCACAAGAAGUUGGAAUUUAAUUGGGUGAAACUUUAUAUAACUUAGAAUUCGAAUUUUGAAUCAAAUCAAAUUAAAAAUCAUAGGUUCGUAUCUCAUUUAUAUUCGAUUAUUGAACUCGAAUUCGAAUGUUUCAAAACCGAAUUUUAACCUUGACUUCAAAUUGAAUUUCGUAUUUUUAAAAUCCAAAUUGAACUCCAACACCCCUAAAAUGGAUCACAAUAUUGUUUUUCUUUCAUUAUCUAUUAUCUAAUUGUUUUGAGAGGGAGAAAAAGUGGAAGAAAAAAAAUCACAAAUUGACCAAAGCCACCAAGACCACCAUCGGUCUCCAUCAAAAUAACAUAAAUUAUCCUACAUAUACAUUUACUAAUUGGGGGAAUAGUGCCAGACAGCUGCCUGACACUCCCCCCCCCCAUUGGACCAACAAGUUUACUCUUUUAUAUUCAUUUUCAAAUUACAUUUUUGCUCCUGCUUAAAAUUACCGUUUUGGCCCCAGUUCAAAAUAAAAUUACGCUUUUGUCCCCAUCUCAAAACUACGAUUUUGCCCUCAAUUCAAAUUUACUAUUUUCCAUUGCACUCCCCCAUUGGACCAACCAGUUAUUAUUUUAUAUCCACUAUAAAAUUACGGUUUUGCCCCUCUUUAAAAUUACAAUUUUGCCCAACUCAAAAUAAAAUUACACUUUUGUCCCCAACUCAAAAUUUCGAUUGUUCUCUCGAUUCAAAAUAAAAUUGUGGUUUUGCUCUCAGCUCAGAAUUACUUUUCCGCCCCAGUUCAAAAUAAAAUUUUGUUUUUCCCCCGGCUAAAAAUUACAAUUUUGCCCUUUGUUCAAAAAUGUGAGUUUUCCCUGUUUAAAAAAUUAUGAUUUCGCCAUCAGUUCAAAAUUACGUUUUCUCCUCAGUUUAAAAUAAAAUUAUGCUUUUGCCCCCAACUCAAAAUUACGAUUUUGCCCUCGGUUCAAAAUAAAUUGUGGUUUUGCCUCCAGCUUAAAAUUAUGAUUGUGCCCUUAGUUCAAGUUUAUAUUACGCUGUUACCCUAAGUUCAAAAUUACGAAUUUGUCCCUGUGAAAAAUUACAAUUUUGCCCCCCGUUUAAAUUUACAGUACUGCCAUCACUUUACCUUUUGGCAAAUUCAAAAAAUACAACUUUCCCUUAGUUAAAAAUUACAAUGUUGCAAUUGUUUUAGUUUUUUUAAUCAAAACUAUAAAAGUGUUUUAUUUUAAUUGGUUUACUCGAUUUAAUUGUUUUCUGUGUCAAUGAGCUGCCUAAUACUCGGUCAUUAUUCGGCCAUCGCCCCGCAACGCAGGUGGGACAUC